rnacentral:lncRNA from 1 species
GGCCAUGUGGAAUUUGUUGUGGAGAGUGGAGUUGUGUCUGUUAUCGUGACUUGCCAGAGAGUGGUGGGGCCAUGUGGAAUCUGUUACAGAGAGUGGAAUGGUAUCCAUUGUCGCGACUUGCCAAAGAAUGGUGGGGCCACGUGGAGUUUGUUACGGAGAGCGGAGUGGGAUAGUGUCCGUUGUCGCGACUUGUCAGAGAGUUCAGACUGGAUGGAUGAAGCUCGACUGGGACGUCUGAUGGAGUAGAAUGGCUCUCUAUCUUAGUAAUCUAAGAGAAGCUUGGAUAUUUUCGAGGUUGCUGAUGAGUCCACUAUUGUCGGGUGCCUUGAGCACUGAUGCUACAGGCGAAAGUCAUCUGCUGUAGAAGCUCGGAUGGGGACUUUCUAUUGGAGAAGUCUGAUGGA